AAUGAACGCUGGCGGCGUGCCUAACACAUGCAAGCCGAACGGGAAAGCCCGCAAGGGUGAGUACAGUGGCGCACGGGUGAGUAAUACAUAGGAAUCUGCCUCUGAGUGAAGAAUACCCUAGAGAAAUUUAGGUUAAUACCGCAUAAGCCCAGAAAUGGGGAAAGGUGGCCUCAAGCUACCGCUGAGAGAUGAGCCUAUGGCCUAUUAGCUAGUUGGUAGGGUAAAAGCCUACCAAGGCGAGGAUGGGUAGCCGGCCUGAGAGGGUGUACGGCCACACUGGAACUGAGACACGGUCCAGACUCCUACGGGAGGCAGCAGUGGGGAAUUUUGGACAAUGGGCGAAAGCCUGAUCCAGCCAUGCCGCGUGCAGGAUGAAGGCCUUCGGGUUGUAAACUGCUUUUGUACGGAACGAAAAGGUUUGGCCUAAUAAGCUGAGCUCAUGACGGUACCGUAAGAAUAAGCACCGGCUAACUACGUGCCAGCCACCGCCGUAA
rnacentral:rRNA from 1 species